rnacentral:rRNA from 1 species
AUUGAACGCUGGCGGCAGGCCUAACACAUGCAAGUCGAGCGGAGCGGCGGAGGGGUGAGUAUUAGUUAGGACUCUGCCUGGUAGUGGGGGAUAACGAUCGGAAACGGAAGCUAAUACUGCUUACUAUCAGAUGAGCCUAGGCCGGAUUAGCUAGUUGGUGAGGUAAUGGCUCACCAAGGCUACGAUCCGUAACUGGUCUGAGAGGAAGAUCAGCCACACUGGAAGUGAGACACGGUCCAGACUCCUACGGGAGGCAGCAGUGGUGAAUAUUGGCCAAUGGGCGAAAGCCUGAUCCAGCCAUGCCGCGUGUGUGAAGAAGGUCUUCGGAUUGUAAAGCACUUUAAGUUGGGAGGCGUUACCCACAGAAUAAGCACCGGCUAACUCUGUGCCAGCAGCCGCGGUAAUUC